rnacentral:rRNA from 1 species
GACGAACGCUGGCGGCGUGCCUAAUACAUGCAAGUCGAGCGGACCAAAGGGAGCUUGCUCCUGGAGGUUAGCGGCGAACGGGUGAGUAACACGUGGGCAACCUGCCUGUAAGACUGGGAUAACAUCGAGAAAUCGGUGCUAAUACCGGAUAAUAAAAAGAACUGCAUGGUUCUUUUUUGAAAGAUGGUUUCGGCUAUCACUUACAGAUGGGCCCGCGGCGCAUUAGCUAGUUGGUGGGGUAACGGCUCACCAAGGCGACGAUGCGUAGCCGACCUGAGAGGGUGAUCGGCCACACUGGGACUGAGACACGGCCCAGACUCCUACGGGAGGCAGCAGUAGGGAAUCUUCCGCAAUGGACGAAAGUCUGACGGAGCAACGCCGCGUGAGUGAUGAAGGUUUUCGGAUCGUAAAACUCUGUUGUUAGGGAAGAACAAGUGCCGUUCGAAAGGGCGGCGACCUUGACGGUACCUAACGAGAAAGCCACGGCUAACUACGUGCCAGCAGCCGCGGUAAAGUC